rnacentral:lncRNA from 1 species
UGUGGCUAACAGAGAGUCUCAUCUCUUCCAGAUCUAGAUUUGAAGAAAGAGAUUGCGAAACAGAUAUGUAAUUUGAUCACAAUAUAAAUUUCAGCAUAUAUCAAUUUCAGCAUAUGAAAUAGAUCCAUAUGGUUUUAUAUUUUUAUGCAUGCAAAAUUUAAAUUAAAAGUAUUUUAAUCUUAUUCUCUACUACGAUAUUUAGAAAAUAAAAUUUUUAAAAUAUAUAUACAUGCAUCAAACCCCAAAAUCCAACAUCGACACCCUCUUAUGCAUCGACUUCUCGACAACUCUUCAGAAAGCUGCUCGGGCC